AAAACCCUAUUCAUUUGGCACCCAAAUGUCAUAUAGCCGGAACUGGGGCUUAUAAAGUUUACUGUUUUAUAACUUUUAAAAGGAAAGACGGCAUCAGUGUAAGCAGUCGGUAAAUGUGCAAAUCUCUAGUUGCGCUUUAGCUGCCCUGAGGAGUUUCCCAAUCGAGCUAGGAUGGGGUAAGUACCUUCCAUUUGUAGCAAAUUAAUUGUAGCAAAAGAAGCCAACCGGGCUCAGGGUGAGGAAUGGGAAGGGGUGCCUGGGUGGGUCAGAGGCAGAGGGUUUGGGGGCCACGAUGUGGCACAGCAGCCUCUUCAGCAAGUGGAGGCCUAGGAUGUGACCUCAGGAAAGAGGCAGCAUCAGUGUGGGCCCUGAGGGCUGUUAACAAAGCCCUGUGCUUUGCUCCUUUCUCUCUCUUCCUCUUUUUUGUACCCAGCGAGUUAACUUGGUUUCCUCAGAGAUGGGCAGGUCGGACUCAGGCUUGAGAACCACCUACAGCGUUUCCACCUUCUGCCCUGCACUCUGAUGGGUCAGAGUUAGGGAGGUCGCGGGUCAGGGUGUUGGUCUGAGGUCUCCUUCACAGGCAGGCUGCUCAGGUAGCCUCAGACUCCCUGCCUUCCAGCACUGGACAGACAGACGGAAGAACAGAAAGAGCCGCUUGCUAUUUGGCACAAACCAGACCAAGAGAACUUACAAUAGAAAGUUUAUUUUUUUGUUUCCAGUCAGUAUUUUUUCCUUAAAAACAAAUACAAAAAAAAAAAAAAAGCUGAUCACAGUUUGCUUAAACAGCCAGACUCGGACAAUAUUCGUAACUUUGUUCACAAAAACAUACAUCACUGAAGCUGCGCUUAUAAGAGCCACUUCCAGAGUUCGUGCAAAGGGUCCUACAAAGGCACGCAGGGACACACCGCUUGGAGUCACAGUUUUCGUCACAGAGUCACUAGUCACUACACGUCAAACAAGUUAAGUUGUGUCUCAUCAAGUCACCUCUACAACAGCAUUAAUUACACAAGGAAUAUAGGUAGUUUGAAUAAAAAUAUCUUUAACAGCUUGGAGCUAUUGAGACAGGAACACUUCCACUCACAUGCACAGUUAAACAACUGGAGUGCAACACAACAUUGGCACUAAACGAGGUUGAAGGGGGACUUUUUUGUGUGUUUUUUUCCUCUUUUUUUUUGUUAUAGUUACUUCAAGUAACACAGCUUGCUUCAUAUAAAUAAGUUAAAACAUCUAUUUUUUUUUUUCAAGACAAAGCCAUUCAGGACAAAGAGAUGAACAGAAAGCAGAUCUACUUAUACAGGCGCUAUAAUGGCAAUAAACAGGCUCAUGAUUAAAAGAUGAAUUAGGGCAACAAGAACAGGGCUUCUUCACAGAAGGAACACAAGGGAGUUUCAGAAAGUCACCUUAGUACUGACACUACGCGGGAUCCGCUAAUACUGCUCAGUACUUUAAACGCUCAAAUACUCAGGGGCGGAAGGCCCCUCCCGCCGCCGCCAUGCUCAUGCUUUUCAGCUUAUUAUCUUUUUUCCACUUCAUUCUCCGGUUUUGGAACCAGAUUUUAAUUUGUCUCUCGGAGAGGCAAAGAGCAUGUGCUAUUUCAAUCCUUCUUCGGCGGGUCAGGUAGCGGUUGAAGUGGAACUCCUUCUCCAGCUCCAGGGUCUGGUAGCGCGUGUAGGCCGUCCGGGCCCUUUUGCCUUCCGGGCCGCCUAUGUUGUCUGCAACAGAAAAGUCAGCGAUUUAGCCACCAACUCCUCAGCCCCUGGUUACCCAAGUCAGCUGGACGAGCCAGGGUUCCUGAGCAAGGAACAGGGGAGAAAAAGCUCAACAAGUCCUCUCUCCUCACCCGCCCACCCCUCCCGAAUUUCCUUCCCUCUUCCUUUCUAGAGAGAAAACAAUACAAUUUGGACUCUGGGAACAAUCGGCCCAUCUGAGGCUGGAGCCGCGUCCCGAAGGAUCGCCCGGCUUUCCUUCACCCCUCUCCUGCCCUCUGGCCCUGCCCCUGGCACCCCGAGGCGGGGAACAGCCCUCCCAGGCAGCCCACCUCUCAGAAACCCACGGAAGCCAGGCCCUUUCCUGAGCGUCCAAGUGGCCUCCAGGUCACCCUCCCUUAAAGUUCCAGCCCCGCGAGCCGCCUUCUGUUCCAGCCUGCACGCUUGGGGCGCCUGCUUUCUUUUUCUUCCCUUUCCUGCUGUCCCUUCUGCUCCCAAACUUCAGAAUCCCGCCGGCUCUCGCCUCGAUUAUUCCCCCCCAAGCCCCUUUUCGGGGACUCUAAUUAGUAACGCUGUUUCCCCAGCGUAGCCCUCCUCAUAAAUUAUCCGUCCUGACAAGCCCGAUUCACGGCCCCUACUGCCAUCCUCUACCUCUCUGCGCCCUGCUCGGCUGGCUUGACCCGGGAGCGCGUUCCGAGGCGCUGGGGUUCGAUAUGGCAUUUUUCCUUUUCCCCCCGUUGCACCGUCUAAACUUGCUUGGCCAGCGGCCCUUCUCCACCACCCCCCCUCCCCAUUUGCGAGCGCUGGGCGCUGCAGAGAAGAGAAGGUGAAAGGAGGGAAGCACGGGAAGGAGAACGGCGGGGAGAGACUCCACAGGGCUGGGAGAGGCGAGACCAGGAGAGAGAUGGGGAGAGAGGGCGGUAAAGGAGAGAGGGGGGACCGAAAGCCGCGCCCCCGCGGCCGCGUGGAUUUAGAAAAAGGCUGGCUUUACCAUGACUUAUGUGCAGCUUGCGCAUCCAGGGGUAGAUCUGGGGUUGGGCGGGCGGCGCCGGGCUCGGCUCGCUCUGCGCGCUCGCCUGCUCGCUGCUGGCGGGGGCGUCCUCCUCGGCUCCGGACGCCGUGCCAACCCCCUCUCUGCUGCUGAUGUGGGUGCUGCCGGCGUUGGCCGAGGCGCCGCUGGAGUUGCCCAGGGAGUUUUUCCCGCCGUGGUGGCUGUCGCUGCCGGGCGAGGGGGCCACGGCGGAGCAGGGCAGCGGGUCGGGCGGAGGCGAGUGCGUGGACGUGGCCGGCUGGCUGUACCUGGGCUCGGCAGGCGCCGCGCUGGCGCCGGCCGCGUAGCUGCGGGCGCGCUCCCCGGAGCCAAAGUGGCCGGAGCCGGAGCGGCCGACGCUGAGAUCCAUGCCAUUGUAGCCGUAGCCGUACCUGCCGGAGUGCAUGCUCGCCGAGUCCCUGAAUUGCUCGCUCACGGAACUAUGAUCUCCAUAAUUAUGCAACUGGUAGUCCGGGCCAUUUGGAUAGCGACCGCAAAAUGAGUUUACAAAAUAAGAGCUCAUUUGUUUUUUGAUAUGUGUGCUUGAUUUGUGGCUCGCGGUCGUUUGUGCGUCUAUAGCACCCUUGCACAAUUUAUGAUGAAUUAUGGAAAUGACUGGGACAUGUACUUGGUUCCCUCCUACGUAGGCACCCAAAUAUGGGGUACGACUUCGAAUCACGUGCUUUUGUUGUCCAGUCGUAAAUCCUGCCUGAUGACCUCUAGAGGUAAACUCGUGCACUAAUGGGGGAGUUGGGUGGAGGCAAGAGGGGUGGCGCGCGCGCCCCAGGCGCGUGCCCGCCACCCGCCGCCGCCGUUCAGUCGGACUCGAGCGCCACCCGCUGGAGGCAGGGCGCAUCGCUCCGCUUCCGACCGAGGGCUGCAAGGGCCGGGGUCGAAUUGAGGUUACAGCCCAUUAUGGCAAAAUUAUUGCAUUUCCCUCGCAGUUCCAUUAGGAUGUACCAAUUGUGAGGCCGUCAGCUGCCGAUCGCGCGCCCGGCGAGGAUGCAGAGGAUUGGGGGGAGACGGUGACUUGGAUUUUAUUUACAACAACUUUAUUUCCCCGCUGUGCAGCCCCUCUUAUUUUUGUGUUGAGGUUGGGGUCGGUUUUGCCCGUCGUGCCGGCAGCUCUGAAAUUUGAAAAUACAGAUAUCACCUUCGGGGAAGGGGGGAGGCCAUUUAGCCAAUUGGAGAAAUAAAUCCUGCCCGCAGCAGCAGCUACAAUUACGGCUCUGUUUUUUUUUUGUGAGUGCAUGAGGGACAGUGUCCCUGCCGCUCUUAAAUGACAGGCGUCUAUUAAAGAUAGCUUUUGUGUAGUGUUUCUCCGAGGCGAGGUCAAAUUCCAUACACUUUUAUAACCGGAGUCGAUUUUUCUUUCGUGCAAAUAUGGUUUUCGUGUCAUUAGUUCGCUAUUUGAUUUGCUUUAAGUAUCCAGCCUGGAGAAUCUUCACCACCAGGUCCCUUUCCUCGAGCCAGCCGGGCCCCAAUUCGGAGGGUUCUCGGUGAACCCAGCGAGUGGGCCCAGGCUCCCCGCAGCCACAGAAGCUGUUUGGGGGCUGGGAAUCCGUGGGCCGAGUUAUUAGGGUCUUGCUUAGAUCUCCAGGAGUAAAAUGAGGGUGCUAAUGGAAGCAUUUCGUGUUAGUGCCUAGGAUCUUCGUAGUUAUUUUCCUGGGUCCUGAAAGACGAAAGUGAAUCACGAAUGUAGCCGAAAGGCAUGGAGGGUACUUCCCGCUGGAGGCUGAGAGUCGCAGGCACCCCUGGCACAUUUGGAAACCAGGACUCUUGCCGUUCCCAUGGCCCUGGGCCCCCUCCUUAGGUCCUGAAAGCUACUCUCUGGUGGCUGCGCAGGCACUGUCGGAGGCGGGGAUCCGGGAUCCGGAGCUGGAGACUUCGGGAGCCCAGUCUCUCCCGGGGCUGUAAAGUUCCACCCGCGCUCAGGUUGGGUCGGCUCAGCUGAGGCUGCUUCUCUUCCACGGACGGUCGCGCGCGGGGCCGAGAGACAAGGCUGUCUCAGGGCCCCCUUUGUUCCUCACGCUUCUUCCUGUCUAGGGGCGGCCUGGGAUGCCACCAAAGUGCUGGGGCCCCAGCCUUUAUGCCCCCUCUUUCCAGUGGCCGGAGUCGAUUUGGUGGUGCCCUCCGGGACUUGGUGGCGAGGGACCGAGGCGAAAACGCCCAGGCACCAAAAGGGGCUCGGCCCAGAUUCUUUCCUCUCCAGCAACCCCGCGUCCCGAGCUCAGGGGCGCGCAAAGGCGCUAGCACAAGAGCCGGGGACGAAUUCGGGGCGCGCCCUGGGAUCCGAAGCCGGCUAGGGCAGCCUUGGAGAGCGGGACCGUGUGUGCAGUGCGCCCCGCUCCACCGCUGAGAUUGGCUGUGUGUGGGAUUUUGUGUGUGUGUGAGAAAUAAAUGCUCAGGCGUUUGCAAAGCUCCCGGCUCCCCUGAAGCUGCAGAAGCCCCCCGGAUGGGGGCAGGCGGGGGAGAAAAGUUGGGGAGCAGGCGAAGGCAAGGGGGCAAAGCCGAGGGAGGUUGCGGUGCUGGCCUGGUCCCUGCCCAGGCGUCUACUCGCCCGCCUUUGCCUCAGCGUCCUCCCCGCUGGGCUGUGUGGAAUUGAUGAGUUUAUUUUCCUUUUUCCACUUCAUGCGGCGGUUCUGGAACCAGAUCUUGAUCUGGCGCUCGGUGAGGCAGAGCGCGUUGGCGAUCUCAAUGCGGCGGCGCCGCGUCAGGUAGCGGUUGAAGUGGAACUCCUUCUCCAGCUCCAGCGUCUGGUAGCGCGUGUAGGUCUGGCGGCCUCGGCGCCCGUGACUUCCAUACACGGCACCUGCGGGCAGAAAUGGCCGGGCGCCAGUGAGCCAGGAGGAUCCCGGCCGCCGAACCAGUCAGACCCGCGCCCCGCGCCCCUGGCCUCUAAGCUGGAAACCACCCCUCUCCACUCCAGCCUCUUUCGCUGUGUCUAAGGACGAAAGCGGGAAGGAUGGGAGAAGAUUAUUUCAUACCAAGCGAGAUGUUUUCCACCUAAGACAACCUGAAGUGAGAACUUAUUGUUUUUGAAAAAUCUGCUCUGCAAGAAAACCAUUACAGGCAAAAAGAAUAGAAUGAGCAUUCUUAAUUCAGGGUACCUGGGUCAUGUUUUUGUGGGGGUGCAGAGCUUGUGUCUGGAAGUGAUGGGUGUGGAGCCCUGUGAGUAGGGUAGACACUCGGAACUCACACACGAAUCUCUGUGAAGGUGUUACUGUGGCCAGACACGUCAGGACUCAACAUGUUUUUUGGAAAAUGAAAACUGGUCAGCCCUCUCAAAUCUUUGCAAACGCCCCCAAAUUGUAUGGCCCUUCUGCAAAAUGCAGAGCUCCUUUGGAAAAACAAAACAAAACAAAACAACACAAGGCUUUUAAAGCAAAACACUAGAAGCUUAAAAAUCUGCACUGGGUUCUGUCCUAGGAUUCUCUGUUGAGUUUUUGGAAACCAGAGGCAAAGGGAUGGAGCUAUGGGCCAUCUGGGGUUUCUGGAAAUGCAGGACUGUGAUGGGCUAUCUGUUCUGGUGCCAAAGGAACCCAAGGUUGGGGGGCUCCCCCCAGGCUGGGUGUGUGAGACUCAGGCAGGGCCUCAAAAGGAGGCAGAAGUUGGCUAAGAGUGAGCAGUUGAGUGGAAGGGGGAGGAGGGAAGGGAGGAGAAAGAGGAAAAAAAAAUCCUGAGGCUAGGGAUGUGGCCCUCCAAGGCUUUGGGGAGACACUAGAAGAGGCCAAGUGAGAGCCUCUAACUACAUGGGGUUUUGAAGAGCAGAAAGGAGAGGGAUUGGGGGUGAAGGGGAAUGAUCAGUGAUGGGUGCAGAAGGCCAUCUUCUACUUGGGGAUCUGUGCAGGGUGUUUCCAGGGGGAAGUGUGGGCAGGCACUCCCUCCCCUCCAGCCUCACUCUCUGUUCAGGUUGCCCCUGUCACAGGGUCUCACGUAGGGUGGCAGUGACCCCUCUCGAUCCCCUAGGGUGUCACCUUACAUGGACACCAGUGCCGUGCCUUCACUCUGCCACAGCUUGAUUGCCUCAGUGGGAAUGGGUUAGUUUUCUUUUUUCUUUCUUUUUCUUUAAUCUCUUAAAAAAGCCAAAGAAACUUUGUUCAUUCUUUCCUUUCUUUCCAUUUCCUCUUUCUAAUUUCCGUCUCCUCCUUCCUUCCUUCUUUCCCUGCCCCCUUCCCCCUCUCCCUCCACUCUCUUGGGGGGGCUGCGGGGAAAUGCCUUACCCGCGCAGGAGUUCAUCCGCUGCAUCCAGGGGUAAACAGGGCUCGUGUACUUCCGGUCGGUGCCUUCGUCAUGGAGGGCUUUGCCCGGCACGCUGCUGCUGUCGGGUUUGUACUGCUGCUCGGGAGAAAAGUGCAGGUAGUCCCCGGGGCCCCUCUGCUUGCCACUGCCUGAGGGCGAGGCGCCACUGAGGUCCUUAUCAGAAUAGAAACACGAGGCCCCGUACUCGUAGGACGCCCGGUUGCAGGCCAGGACCGAGUUGGACUGUUGGUAGAAACAAGGUGAGGUGUACGUCUUGUCCGGGAGGCUCGACGCCCCGUACGAGGCCGGGAAGGGCCUCAGCGCGUCAUAGCCAGCCGGGUAGAGGGGCAGCUGGCCCAAGAAGGAGUCCUGGCCGCUGGGCAGGCUCCCGGGGAAAGUGGGAUUCACAAAAUAGGAACUCAUUUGCGCGCCCCUCUGCAGGACUGUGAUUUGUUGUGUAUUAGUACAUCUGGCUAUAACUAUUAGUAGUCAUCGAACUGGUUUGUUUCUGGAUGGCCGAACGCCAAAAGCGACAGCAGCAAAUCGCACCAGCUGACGCGGCGGCGGCCAAUGGGAGCGAGCGCUGGAGCCCGCUCCCCGGGGACCGCGGCGACCGAGGCAGCAAAGUUACAAACAGCCCCCAGCCCGCCCGCCCGCCGCCCGCCCGGCAGAUUAAUGGGCGCGCACAGCCAGCCGGCCCGGCUCUCUUUCCGAACGCCAGCGGCGGGCACGGCCCGGGCAGGGGCGUGCGAAUCAGGCCGGGGUAGGGGCACUAGAGUCCGGGCCGCCGCAAAGGCCCCGCCAGGCCCGCUCCCUCCUCCUCCCCUUCUUGCCUUUUCGGAUUUUGCUGGUUUUUCUUUCCAAACAGGAAACCUGACAGCCCCGCGCCGGGAGGGGCGGUGACCACGACGGCUUAGCUCCCGGCCGGCUUGCCCGCCCCGCAGGGCUCUGAGCGUGCCCCUCCCUCUGCACUCCCCCGCCCGUGGGUGCGGGUUCCGGGACUGAAGAAGGGGGCCUGAGAAACCAGGCCUUCACGCCCAGCUCCUCACUCCUGCGUCUUAGGAAUCCGUGCAUCCCUUCCCUCUUUCCUUCCCACUCCCACCAAGGGCCUGGGCCUCGCUACCGCCUGGAGCCGAAGGCUCACCUCGAGCUGACCAGAUCGCGGCUAAACGUCUUCCCCUGGCAGCCCCAUCCGCCCACAUACAACACGUCUCCUUUGAGUCCAGACGGGCUCCCCUCCAAUGGCCAACGACCGCCUGGCCUCAAAGCACCCCACAAGCUGUGCGUCCCCGUACCACCUUUGAACCCAGGAAUCCAGAGGCCAGAAACCACUGGUUUCAACAAGAAAGGGACCUACAAGGGAGUGGCCUGGAGACUGAGCUUCGAAGCAAAACGGGGGAACCCGCUCCCCUCACCCAGCCCUUGGGACUCGUCCUCUCAACACCCGAAGUGCUCAGAGCUGAGACAGAUCCAGAUGUGGAAUAUCUGUCCUCUUUCUGGAGGCACGGCAUCCCAAGGUCCCUGCCGAGCCAGGCAUAGAGGGCAGCUGGGACGUCCCAAAGGCUGUGGGGUAAUUGAUGUGCUUGGUUUCUGGGGUGCCCGACAGCCCGCACUUUCCUGGGGUGUACCCUCUCCCCUGCCUUUCCUGGGACUGCUGGGGGCCUGCCGGUUGCAGUUGCCCCAGUGCCGGGAACAGUUGCCUCACGGGCUCCAGGAAUCCUCUGCAUUGCUUUUGCCGUUGUCACAGGCCUGGCCUUUCCCAGACAGGAGGUGAAAAGUGUGUCCCUGGCUGCCCUUGCUUGAUAGGUGUGCCUUGGAGAUAGUUGACUUUUACAGCACAUGGAUCAAUCUCAUUUUGUAAAACGUGAUAUCUUUCCAAUGGCAUUUUUACAACUGUAUUUGUUGGGCUUGUAAAACCCUUGAAUUAGCUUUAAAAUCCUCAAUUCUGUGGAGGCUGAAGAAAGACUAUUUAUACAAUUUGGUUGAAUUUCCGGAGGAUGUUUCUAAGAUCUGUAAAACUCUGAUGAAUGCAGGCUGAUGGGGUUCAGGACUUGGGGGUGGCAAUGCCCUCCUGGAAUCUGACAACGACUUCCUUAAUCUCCUCCUUGCUUUUUGAUUUUUUUUUGCCCCUGCCCUCACUUCCCUCAAAGGGAGAAAACUGGGAAAGGACUGGGCUAAGGGUGGCCUCCACAGAACCUAGCAAGCACCCUAGAAAGUGGCUGUUGCCCACGCGAUGGGGUCUACACCCAGAAGCCUUCUCCCUGUGCCCCAAUCAAUCCACGCUGGGAAAGUUUCUCCUUUGCAUAUGUAAAAAGGGCCUGGCAGGAGAAGAGAGAAUGUAACAUUUCCCUGGAAUUUCUUCAGGGAAUGGACCCGAUAGGUGAAAAUGAAAACUCAAGUAAAAAAUUUUAAAGGGAACUAUUUUUUUUAAGGCUAUGUCCAAAGAAAAUCAUGUUUGAGUUAUUGUUUCCUACACAAGACCAUCAGAUGACAGUGACGUCAAGCAAAUUAUUAUUAUAUAAGACAAAAAUAACUGUUGGGAGAUGUUGAGAAAUGUUUACAUUUAUAAUUUCUGCUUCAUACCUCCAGGUCUCACACAGCAUUGGGAGUGAUGGCAGUUGACUACAUAUACUACUAUUGUUAUUAUUUGUUAUGGUUUGACUUAGAUUCUUGAUCUAAUAAUUACCCCCCAGACAAUGACAGAAUUUGAUUUCUCAGCUAAGAGCCAAAAACCAUUGUGUUUCUAGCUUCUAUAGGCAGUGAGACAGAAAAAAAUAAAUUAAAUUGAAAUCUCCAGGUGUUAGCCAAGGCUGGUACAUAUCAGGUUGGCAACGGCCCAAUUUAUUUCUCCAACCAGCUUUAGGUGCAUAUAUAGAGAGAGAGAGAGAGAGAGAGAGAGAGAGAGAGAGAGGCACACACACACACUCAGGCAAGAAUAGGAGCCCCAGACGCUGGAGGGAGCCUCUCCUGGGAUAGUGAGAAUGGCUAUCAGGACUCUCUCUUCUAGGUCAAAGCCACAGAGAAGGUCUACUUACCUUUCAGCUGCUCUUCAAGGGGGACUGGAUGGUGAGCAGGGCCCCACAGUCCGCCCUUUCUCUGGGCUGCCCACUCGACCUCCGCCAGCUUGGAGGGCGGCCCGCCGGUGUGUGGGGUGGACCUUGAGGGCCACCCGGGCCGCCUGGAUCUGUAGCCCAGGCCAGAGCCCAUAGCAUACAGGUGCGGCCUCUGCCUGUCAGAGGCCCUCGCCUGACGCCAAAGCCCGCCUUCCUUGCCAUAGCCAAUCCUCCUCAGGGCCAGCCAGGCCUGCAGGCCUCGGGGCCAGGAAUGGUCUCUCCGAUUUGCAAAUCCCAAAGCGGGCGCCUUCCCCGAACCAGCGUGCGCCCCGGGGACGCCUUGGGACGCGCAGUUUGGACAGAAGCAGCCAUAACGUGCCAGGCCGCCUGUGCAACCAGUCUCCAUGGCGCUGGGGGUAGGGGGAGGACCCGAGUCUAGUCGGGCUUCCAGCUCCUAUCAGGGGUGGCCAAGGCGGGGGAGGUUCCCGACAGGCCCUGGGAGGCCGCCCCUCAGGUCCUCCCUUGCCCCCCUCUGCUCGGCCUGCUUGGGAAUCUCUGAGGGGCCCGCGCAGCAGUCGCGCCAGGCUGCACGACGCGGGGCUGCGGCUGGCGUCGGUCCCGGCGACGGCCACAGCGUGGCAGCAGCGAGCGCCCAGCGCGGUCGCAAUAAAUAAUCUGCCCGCGGCAGCCGCAGUCAGGCAGCCCGCGGCCCUGCGACGCAAACGCGCAGCUUUAUCCUCCCUGAGUGCACCCACAGCGCCGGUGGACGUCCCAAACAUCUACAGCCCCUUCUUAAUUUUCUAAUGCACACCAAGGUAUUAUCUUAAGGUGGAAAAACAACAACAACGACCAGAACCACAGAACAAACAAAAAGAACUCGAGCCCAGAACCUCAGGAUCCUUUCUGGUCGCAGUCCCAGGAAGCUCCCGGGGCAAAUCUGGCCGACGCGCACCCAGGCCAAGCAACGGUCUGUGCCACCGCUCCACAUAAAGUCAGUGCCCACGGUACCCUCCGUGCCUCCCGGGCGGCUUCACAGUCCCCUCCCGGCUCGCGGAAAGUGGGGCGCGCGGUCGGCGGCCCGCUGCGCCGAUGUGGGGGUGGUGGGGUCCCCCUAUCGCCCAGACGCGGUUUGCGUCCUUCUUUCAACCUUAGCUGCGGGCCCCUGCCACUCUCAAUAACACCAGCACAUUCUCUGCACCGAAACUUCCCGCCAAGCAACACCCAGCCAAUUAACCCCAUCCUCUCCUCCAACACAGAGUUCCACCCACGCACCUAGUCCCUCUCCCCGCGCUUCAGACACAUCUGUCAUCGGAAAACCGCGUGAAAGGAAGCAGGCAAUCAGCAGAAGAACCUGGCCGAAUUAGUAAGUUUUUGUUUGUUUGUUUUUUUUCCCCCUCAUUCUACCUUUCUCUCCAGAAACCGAGUCCCUCAGAAUAGAAGGUGCUGUGUUGACACUAAUAAAAAAGCAGGUCGAUUAAUUCACUUUGCCCUCACCUCUUCCCACCUCCCCAGGUCGGGAACUGUCUUCAAUUGUUGGGAAAUUCAACCGAGCCAACUGGGUCAUGAAUGAAAAAAAAAAAAAAAUCCAAACCCGGGAGAUUGGCAAGGAACGCGGAGGGCAGGGCCACUUCUUUUUGGGCUCGGCAAGGUCGCUGGGGAAGAGGGGAGAGACCUCAGUGCUCCUGCCCCAUGCCAGGGCGCUGUGCCACUGAAAGGAGGCUGGCAUUCACUGCCAUGGUGAGCAAGAGAGAGGAGAGAGGGAGAGUGUGUGUGUGUGUGCGCGCGCGCGCGCACGUGUGAAGGGGGGCAAGUGUGAACGGUGAGUGUGGGCGAGGGUGAGUAUGCCCCUCUUCAAAGCCGCCCCAGUGCCCUCUCCCACCGCCGCCGGCGCCGGCUGCCAUCUCACCACCUUUGCUCCUGUCUCCCCACAUGUCUCACCUUCAGAUGGCGGCUCCCAGAAGCUCCUGCCCCUCUGACAGCUGUCGCUUGGGCAGCCGGGGAGACGAAUUGUCCUCCUUCCUGGUGCCAGAGGACGCAGGAAAUUAGCCAGGUUGCGAGUUGCGAAGCGGCCGCCGCGGCGCCGGGAACUGGACGCGCCCCACCUCCAGCGGGAGCGGCCGGGCCGGGCCGGGCCGGGGCCUCGUCUCGCUCGCCAUCGCCGGACAAAGCGCAGCCAAGCCCGGCUGGAAGGCAGAGCUCCGAAGCAGGCAGGACGGAGCGGAGCAAAAGAAUGCGGCUCUAUUCUCGCAAGGGAAAUUAUAAAAAAGUUCAUGUUCACGGUUCCCAUCCACAUGACCGACAGCGGCCAAUGGAAGGGCCGAACAACUCAUAAAGUUGUAUUGCAAAGU
rnacentral:lncRNA from 1 species